rnacentral:piRNA from 1 species
UAACAUCAUAAUAUCUUGCAUGCUGUUCUU